AGACGCACACAUAAAACGACCGUAUAAAGUGCGCGGUGUAUGUUUUAUGCGACAGCAUUAAAACGGUCUGUAACUAAAACUCAAACUUAUUCUCGUCGUGUAAACGGUUUAAAACGGUUUAAAAACAUCGUACCGUUUCCGAAACUAAAACAUUCGCAACUACGUAGGAGGCAGUUUAAGAGAUAAAAACCGUUCCGAGCGUUUAAAACACGGUUGGUCGUACGAACAUCAUGGCAUUCAGUAAACACGUUUUCUAAACCGUUUUUCAUUCAAUCGGUUUGUGCGCGGCGUGGUCAAUAAUAAUUGCUUAUUACGAGUCGCAUUAUAAACAACUACGUCUCG